UUUUAUAUGUUUACUUAUUAUUAUUAUUUCAUAGUUUGUCGAUUUAGCCCAUUUUAUCUAAAUACGACGCUAUGAAAAUGCAGCCCAAUCGGUAAUCGCAAUAUUUCAAAAGAACAUAACCCAUCUUUCAAUAGCAAACCACUGCAAAAAGGACAAACGAGACAACAUAGCCGACCGUCAUUGUCGUAAAAUUGUCCAUUGAAACAAAUUUUGUCACGAUUCACACAAUUUGGUGUCAAUAUGUAUGUAUGUAUAUACAUAUGUAUGUUUGUGGACAAAGUCGUCGUUUGGUUUUUUUCAACAACACAAUGUCCGCGCGCACUCGCCGUUAUUUCGUUGGCUUGCCACCAUGCACAUAGGCGUGUCAAGUGAGGGCUCUAAUAUAUUAAUAUUAGAGAUGAAACUGAUAGCAGUUUGGCCGGAUACCGACCGGCGAAACUUAGCCGUUUGCGGAGGCGUCGCGCGAACGAUCGGGUGUACUCGGUUCGAUUCGGGUCUUUUCGUAGAUGAGUGAAGUUAACAAUUGUACCAUUCAUUGUGUCGAUUGCAUGCAGUGCAGGCACGUGUGUGAUCGUUUUUAGGUUAUAAUUUUAUUUGUGCUCUUAUUAUUUGAAGUUCAUACAUAAUUACAUAUAUACAUAAGUCUAAAAGAUUUAGCCACGAGAAAUGGCAUCGAUGAAGAAAAGAUCGCCUUUAUGGGAAUACUUUGACAUAAGCAGUGAAAAUAAAAAGUUAGCUCUUUGUUUAUUAUGCAAUGUUAAUAUUUCUCGUGGUGGCGAAGGGAAAAAAGCAGGUAAUCAUUUAAAAUCAAAACAUCCAGAUGAAUUUAGUGCUUUGAAUAGUAGAAAGUAGGCUGUUGAGCCUACUACAGUUUCUUUAGCCAUUGCGGGGACAAGUUCAUCUUCAGUAGCAAAAACGCAAUUGACUAUGACAGAAUCUUACGAAAGGAAAUUGCUCUGGGAUAUAAAUGAUACUAAAGCGACAAAGUACCAUUAUUUAGUAGCUGAAACGAUUGCACUCGACAACGAGCCAUUCUCCAUAGUGG